UACGAAGGGGGCUAGCGUUGCUCGGAAUCACUGGGCGUAAAGCGCACGUAGGCGGAUCUUUAAGUCAGGGGUGAAAUCCCAAGGCUCAACCUUGGAACUGCCUUUGAUACUGGGGAUCUCGAGUCCGGAAGAGGUUGGUGGAACUGCGAGUGUAGAGGUGAAAUUCGUAGAUAUUCGCAAGAACACCAGUGGCGAAGGCGGCCAACUGGUCCGGUACUGACGCUGAGGAGCGAAAGCGUGGGGAGCAAACAGGG
rnacentral:rRNA from 1 species